UACGUAGGGUGCAAGCGUUUGUCCGGAAUUAUUGGGCGUAAAGAGCUCGUAGGCGGUCUGUCGCGUCGAAUGUGAAAACCCGGGGCUCAACCCCGGGCCUGCAUUCGAUACGGGCAGACUAGAGUUCGGUAGGGGAGUCUGGAAUUCCUGGUGUAGCGGCGAAAUGCGCAGAUAUCAGGAGGAACACCGGUGGCGAAGGCGGGACUCUGGGCCGAUACUGACGCUGAGGAGCGAAAGCGUGGGGAGCAAACAGG
rnacentral:rRNA from 1 species